GAUGAACGCUGGCGGCGUGCUUAACACAUGCAAGUCGAACGAAGCACUUUGAUCGAUUUCUUCGGAUUGAAAUUUUAGUGACUGAGUGGCGGACGGGUGAGUAACGCGUGGGUAACCUGCCUCACACAGGGGGAUAACAGUUGGAAACGGCUGCUAAUACCGCAUAAGCGCACAGUACCGCAUGGUACAGUGUGAAAAACUUCGGUGGUGUGAGAUGGACCCCCGUCUGAUUAGCUAGUUGGCAGGGUAACGGCCUACCAAGGCGACGAUCAGUAGCCGACCUGAGAGGGUGACCGGCCACAUUGGGACUGAGACACGGCCCAAACUCCUACGGGAGGCAGCAGUGGGGAAUAUUGCACAAUGGGGGAAACCCUGAUGCAGCGACGCCGCGUGAGCGAAGAAGUAUUUCGGUAUGUAAAGCUCUAUCAGCAGGGAAGAAGAAAUGACGGUACCUGACUAAGAAGCACCGGCUAAAUACGUGCCAGCCGCCGCAGUAA
rnacentral:rRNA from 1 species